CUUGUACUCCCUCCGUCUGAAAAAACUUAUCUCUCAAAUUAAUGUAUCUAGCCUCAAGUUUAUGCUAAAUACAUCCAUUUGAGAAACAAGAUUGGGACAAGUUUUUUCGAACGGAGGGAGUACAAU
rfam:Triticum aestivum genome assembly, contig: Triticum_aestivum_CS42_TGACv1_scaffold_542711_6DS